rnacentral:rRNA from 1 species
AGAGUUGAUUAUGGCUCAGGAUGAACGCUAGCUACAGGCUUAACACAUGCAAGUCGAGGGGCAGCAUGAGAUUAGCUUGCUAAUCUUGAUGGCGACCGGCGCACGGGUGAGUAACGCGUAUCCAACCUUCCCCUUAGUAGGGCAUAGCCCGGCGAAAGUCGGAUUAAUACCCUAUGUUCUCCGUAGAGGACAUCUGAAAUGAAGCAAAGACUUGUCGCUAAGGGAUGGGGAUGCGUCUGAUUAGGUAGUCGGCGGGGUAACGGCCCACCGAGCCGACGAUCAGUAGGGUUCUGAGAGAAAGGUCCCCCACAUUGGAACUGAGACACGGUCCAAACUCCUACGGGAGGCAGCAGUGAGGAAUAUUGGUCAAUGGGCGAGAGCCUGAACCAGCCAAGUAGCGUGCAGGAUGACGGCCCUAUGGGUUGUAAACUGCUUUUAUGCGGGGAUAAAGUGAGGGACGUGUCCCUUUUUGUAGGUACCGCAUGAAUAAGGACCGGCUAAUUCCGUGCCAGCAGCCGC